UACCGAGUAUUUCUUCUUCUUCUUGGGCUCUUAGGUUCAGGUUAUAUAAGAGAAAGGAAAUAAUUCUUCUUGGGCUCUUAGGUUCAGGUUAUAUACGAGAAAGGAAAUAAUUCUUCUUGGGCUCUUAGGUUCAGGUUAUAUACGAGAAAGGAAAUAAUUCUUCUUGGGCUCUUAGGUUCAGGUUAUAUGAGAAAGGAAAUAAUUUCCGUUCCUGCAUAUAUUCAUCUAAGAAAUAUUCCAACAACUGAAAAUAUGCCCAACGUGUACUAUGGUCUGAUGCAAGUUCGGAGGACAAAAUCUUGAUGGUGAGGCCAAACAAAGCAUGAUAGUAAACUUGCAGCCAACAAGUUGCUUUGAUAAAUAUGUUCACUUCGACAAAAUGUAGUAGCAGCAGGUGUUUAAACCUACAAUCGGUAUUUUUGUCCAACCUGAAAUAAAUUCGUGUUAGCUUUUUGUUUUCGUUCAUUUACAGGUUCAAGAAAACAAGCAUGACAAACCUGUCCUCUGAUAGGCACUCUGUUCCUGUCUUACUUUAUCAGAAUCUCCUCCAUGAUACAUCCUCGACCAACAAUGAGGUUAAUCCAGUUUGCUGCUAGGUUCAUGUAGUAUGGUUUCUUACUCAGACUAGAGCUAUUCCCUGCUUUUAGAAAUCAGAUUCACGGUCCUUCAGAACACUUCUUCGAAUUCAUGAUGUUCAGUCCAAACGUCUUCCAGCUAAGGAACUAUAAUCACAUCUACAUCACAAUGGUUUCUCUCACAACUCCUGGACUCAAGAGCUGCAACAUCCAUUGAACAAAUCAAUAAUAAUCAGUAUGCUUUUACUGCACCAGUUUCAACCAGAUGCUGCUCAGAAUUGCAGGUCUAAACUAAGGAGGAGCUCAAGUAAGAAGAGAAGUGAAGGAGAAAGUAACCUGACGGAAAAUUACAUGAACAUUCAUACAUUUGAAUUGUGUGCAAUAUACUGUUUUAUUUGCCUGGGUCGGAUGAAAUUCAAUUUUUCCUGCAACUUUGUUUCGCCUGUUAGAAUCCUCCACUAAUUGAAAUGCAGUCUAUUUACUGGUUAAGUACUCCUUUUGUUUUUUUGAAUAUCCUAUUUAGGCUUUAGCUAUUGUGCAAUUAACAUUUUUUUAUUGUCUUGGACUGAGCCAUGUCAAUUAUGAUUAUGAUGGGACUAACCAUCGACAACUGGCCUCAUGCAGGAGGUCAGGAGAGGGCAUGGUACUGACGGUGCUCUACAGUUCAUUAUUUUUGUUCCGAUUAAAAAACAGAAGUUCAUUCCUUUUGCUUUCUUUAUUUUUCACUCUCUAGAGGCAAGAUGGAUGGAUCAAGUAGUUAGAUGAUACCCAAGUAGUAGCGCAUGAGUGUUUUUAGUGUAUUUGUGCAAGCAUGGUGACGUUCCACUGGUGUUGAAGGCUCUAUUUCCCGAGUAGAUUAAGGUGCUUCGUACAUCAAUAGUUUAAUAAUUUAGACGAGGCGUUCCAUAUAUUUGUGCAAUCCAUGUGUAAAACAAAGUCGCAUUAAAGUUUUGAUGGUAAUUAUACCAUGUUUUGUACAUGUUU